AGGUUUGGAGUUGGUAUAUGAUGUUACAGAAAAAGGACCAUCUCACAAUAAGCAAUACAACUGCAGAGUGAAGCUUCCUAUCGAGGGCAAUCAGGGGGAGCCACUAUAUGCUGAGGCUAGCAUCAUAG